GAUGAACGCUGGCGGCGUGCCUAAUACAUGCAAGUCGAGCGAACGGACGAGAAGCUUGCUUCUCUGAUGUUAGCGGCGGACGGGUGAGUAACACGUGGAUAACCUACCUAUAAGACUGGGAUAACUUCGGGAAACCGGAGCUAAUACCGGAUAAUAUUUUGAACCGCAUGGUUCAAAAGUGAAAGACGGUCUUGCUGUCACUUAUAGAUGGAUCCGCGCUGCAUUAGCUAGUUGGUAAGGUAACGGCUUACCAAGGCAACGAUGCAUAGCCGACCUGAGAGGGUGAUCGGCCACACUGGAACUGAGACACGGUCCAGACUCCUACGGGAGGCAGCAGUAGGGAAUCUUCCGCAAUGGGCGAAAGCCUGACGGAGCAACGCCGCGUGAGUGAUGAAGGUCUUCGGAUCGUAAAACUCUGUUAUUAGGGAAGAACAUAUGUGUAAGUAACUGUGCACAUCUUGACGGUACCUAAUCAGAAAGCCACGGCUAACUACGUGCCAGCAGCCGCGGUAAUACGUAGGUGGCAAGCGUUAUCCGGAAUUAUUGGGCGUAAAGCGCGCGUAGGCGGUUUUUUAAGUCUGAUGUGAAAGCCCACGGCUCAACCGUGGAGGGUCAUUGGAAACUGGAAAACUUGAGUGCAGAAGAGGAAAGUGGAAUUCCAUGUGUAGCGGUGAAAUGCGCAGAGAUAUGGAGGAACACCAGUGGCGAAGGCGACUUUCUGGUCUGUAACUGACGCUGAUGUGCGAAGGCGUGGGGAUCAAACAGGAUUAGAUACCCUGGUAGUCCACGCCGUAAACGAUGAGUGCUAAGUGUUAGGGGGUUUCCGCCCCUUAGUGCUGCAGCUAACGCAUUAAGCACUCCGCCUGGGGAGUACGACCGCAAGGUUGAAACUCAAAGGAAUUGACGGGGACCCGCACAAGCGGUGGAGCAUGCGGUUUAAUUCGAAGCAACGCGAAGAACCUUACCAAAUCUUGACAUCCUUUGACAACUCUAGAGAUAGAGCCUUCCCCUUCGGGGGACAAAGUGACAGGUGGUGCAUGGUUGUCGUCAGCUCGUGUCGUGAGAUGUUGGGUUAAGUCCCGCAACGAGCGCAACCCUUAAGCUUAGUUGCCAUCAUUAAGUUGGGCACUCUAAGUUGACUGCCGGUGACAAACCGGAGGAAGGUGGGGAUGACGUCAAAUCAUCAUGCCCCUUAUGAUUUGGGCUACACACGUGCUACAAUGGACAAUACAAAGGGCAGCGAAACCGCGAGGUCAAGCAAAUCCCAUAAAGUUGUUCUCAGUUCGGAUUGUAGUCUGCAACUCGACUACAUGAAGCUGGAAUCGCUAGUAAUCGUAGGUCAGCAUGCUACGGUGAAUACGUUCCCGGGUCU
rnacentral:rRNA from 1 species